ensembl:lncRNA
GUACAGUUGUGCCAAGUGAGUGCUGGGCACCUGGCAGGCAAGCAAAAUGCUAAGGUGGCAUGUCAUGGCUGUCAGUGUGGCUCCUGUUCAGAGCUUGGAUCCAGCACUGGCUUCUUAAGAUUGGGCAAAUUACACAUAAAGGGAUGGGCAAGCUCUGCCUGACCAGAAUAGUGUUCACUGAAUUCUGGAGCAUUCUCAAACCUACUGCACAAAACCACCAUAGCAGGAGAGAGAGAGAGAGAGAGCUGGUUGGAGGAAGUGCAGGGCGGGAGCUGGGAAGUGGUUUCUUUGUUCUGGGAGAUUUCAGCCGGCAGGAACCGCAAAUUUUACUGUCUCCAAACCAAAAGCCCUCCCCCCUCCCCCAUUACCUCUUUCCUUUACAACCUGGGAAUUCAUUCGCUGCCUCCCUCGGCCUCUUCCUCUGCCUAGAGCAGUCUCCAGGGACAGAUCUCUUUGUUGAGUACUCUUCGAGACAAUUCAGAGUUGCAAAGUUCCCGGGUCACAGCCAGGGCUGUUCUCUGAAGAUAGUGGUCUCUCGGGUACAGACCCCCACCUGUGGAUCUGUCCCUUCCUGGGGUAUCUUUCAAGGGACAGAAGAGAAGAUGUUAAUUUGGAUGGAAUUUUUAUCCUUUGGGCAUUUAUGAGACAUGACAUUCUCAACAAUGACAAUUUAACAAUGAAAUCAAAGUAUCCAUCAACUCUGACAACACCGAAGAUGCUCUCCAUCCUGCAUCAUCAAAAAUGCCAUCAAGAUUUGAUUCUCUGCAUAAAAAUAAACAGCACAACCAUUUCAUUAGUAUGCAAAUAUACCUUCAUAUUUGAUAAGUAAGAUUAUAUGUAUAAGAAUUUUAAAAAAUAAAAUUCCUUAUGAUUUAUUACAAGCAUUUAAUUUUAUAGUAUCUAUAUAUCUUGGGUUGUAUAAAAAUUUCUUGGACAAAAAGAGGUUGAAGGUGGGUAGUGUUUAAGGAAUCUUGCUUCAUUCUAUACUGUGGCUGUCUGGACCUGUGCUUUGUUUGGGUCUCUUCUCCCUGGGCUUGCAGACAGAAUGCCAAGUCUGUUUCAGGAACCACUUAGUAUGUGUGUCCUUUCUCAGACAACAUGGGUCAGCCCUGUUUGUUCUCUACUGAUGGUAAUAGUUUUGUUCCCUUUGUCCAGCUUUUUAACAGUAGUUGUUUAUUAUAGGAAGGCAACCCUGGUAUCAAGGCCAUUGGUGUAUUCCCUGAUUAGACUAUAUAUACAUACAUAUAUAUAUAUAUAUAUAUAUGUGUGUGUGUGUGUGUGUGUGUGUGUGUGUGUGUGUGUGUGUAAAAUCUUUUUACCAACUUUAACAUUAAAACUCUUACUUUAUCCACCUUUUUAUAGAGAAAUCACCAAGAUUAAUAGAAGAAAAGUCUAAUAAAAUUGAAGAUGUGUGACCUUCAUACAUUAACCUGCCUGUCUAAUAAUCCUUUCCAAACAUGAAACAAGAUUGAUGUCUGUGACUUGGUGAUAGUGAAGCUGUGUUAGCUAAAGGGAUGCCCUAUUAUCCUUCAUGAGUUAGCCAUUUAGGUGCAUUCUUCAGGAUUCCACCUUUGUACAGAUAUAUUAACCGUUAAGUAUUUUUCAGAAUUUGAUUUUUUGAUAUAAACACAUUGGUCUCCUUCUGGUACUUUGACAUAGAAUUUACUAGUGGCACUUAUUGGCACACAUGUAUCUGUCAUACACAAAUACUCUGCACCAUGCCAAGUAUUUUAAGGAUCAUCUAUUUGGAGCGUUUAUGAUACCGUGACUUAACAUCCUCUUAUCAUGUAGUAGGUGCAGAAAACAAUAAUUAGAGAGAGAAAAUCAUGUGCCCAAGGCCACUUAGCCAGAAAGAGAAGGAGCUGAGUCAAGUCACUUUGAUUUCACCAUUGGGCUUUCCACAGCCUGUCCUUUCUAGGCCACCAAAACCUUCCCCAAUUUUUAUCAAGACUAAACAUGUCAGCUCUCUCUUUUAAAAUUCCUAAAUACCUUUUGAAGUACUCACAGCAUGGUAGAUGUGGAUCAAAUACCGUGAGGCUAUAGCAACACGAGAAUGCAACAGCAGCCUAUUAUUUCAGCCACAAUGUGGAGACAUUCCAUAGCAACCUCACAUGGAUGCUAUGAGGGUAGAAAUAAGGAAGCACAUGUCAGAUGCUAGUAAUGAAAAUGUGCACUCAAAGUUCAGGUUAUAUUUGGUACAGCAGCAACUACAGCACCUGUGUAGAGCUAUCCAAUGCUUCCCUUGUGCAGAAUAUGAGGUGUUUAAAUAUCCUGUAGAGUAUGGCUGUCAAUGCUCUUAGGGGUGAAGUCUUCAGCAAAUAAUACAUGUAAGAAGCCCAUGAGAGACCAGGUGGUGGUGGCACAUGGCUUUAAUCCCAGCACUCGGGAGGCAGAUCUCUGUGAGUUUGAUGCCAGCCUGGUCUACAGAGUGAGUGCCAGGAUAGGCUCUAAAGCUACAGAGAAGCCCUGUCUGAAAAAAAAAAAAAAAAAAAAAAAAGAAUCACAUGAGUUUAAGAGCCGAGUUUAGAGAAGAUUCUAAGGCGGGUUUUGCCUGACAGAUGGAAGCAAUGAAGACUGAAGAGGGCAUUUUAGGCAAAUAGAACAAUGUGUACAACAGCACAGAGGCAUGAAAAGGACCACAUUCUCUUUGAUCAGUCAUUUGACAUGCAUGUGCAUGUGCGUGGUAGAUCAUUUGAAUACAUUCAAGAUCUUGGUUUCCUCUUCCAAAGAAGUCCCAAUACAAUGUAGCCACAAUUAUGGGAAAACAGUGUUAAUAUAUCACAGGUGCCUGGUAUAUUCUGUGUUAAAUGAAGAAAUGUCAGGUACUGCUUGUGUCUGAGUCAGACCCUCAGGAGGGCAGAGAAUGUCCCUCUUGGCAUGCUGUGAUUUAUAGAGCCCUAGAAGGAAAAGUGGUGUCUGGCAGGUUGGUGUAAGUUGGAUACAUGGAAGGGGGAAGAUGUGCCAAGGGCAUGAAGAACAGUCAUCGAUAGACUAAGUAGGAGACAGGCAUAUUCUUCCUUUUGCAGAGCUGGGGAAUUUAACCAGGGUCUUGAACACUCUUGACAAGUGCUCUAUCACCCAGCUGUAUCCCUAAGAGGCAUCUCCAAGGCAGGAGAAGGUGAGCAGGAGGAAUGGAAAGGAAGAUGUCAUUGCUGGAUUUGGGUGCCUGGACUUUGACUUUUGUGUAUGAAUCUACCUAGAAGUUUGUGGGGGAAUUCUUAAAGGGUUAUUGGCUGGAACUGACAGGAUUAAAGUAACUUCCUGCAUUUGUAAACGUGGGUGAAUUAUAAAGAGCUGAACAUGUUAAAACAACUACACUUCUCAACACCCUUAGGCACCCACCGAGUGACAUACAUAGGUAAGGCAUAUACAUAUGAAUUACUGUGUUUUAUACAUAGGAUAUGGAACAUACAUGUGACCUACUGUGUUCCAUAUAUAGGGUAUGUCUUAUUCAUAAGACCCACUCCUGGCUCUGAAGGGACUUCAAAAUGUAAGGCAAUCAUUGAGAAGAAUUCAUUGCCCAGUGAACAACAGAAUGUACAUGUGAUAGCCGACCUUGAUUGUCAACCUGACACGAUUUAAAAUCACCCUCGAACCAUGAGCCAAAAUAAAACCUCCCUUUCUCAAGUUGCUUAUGUCAGGUGUAUUGUCACAACAAGAAAAGUAACUUGAGGGACAGGCAGAGACAGGGAGCAGCUUACGAAGCAAGUAAGUUAGUUUGGGAACUAAGACCUGAUACUGUGGGGUCUGUUGAGGCACAAGUCAUAGGAGAUGAAGGAUGGGUAUUGGAGUUCUUACAAUGGCAGCUAUUGGGACUGAUCAAAGAUGGCAGACAGGAGCAGACGGAACACCAAACUUGACUAGAAUGGAUAGUGGCAAAGAUUUAGAGUACACAUUUUUGAGUGUCCACUGUGCACCAGUCACCAUUCUGCUAUAGGUGUGACAAGCCAUCAGUUGUUCAGGGGCCAGCUCCUGUGCAUGGUGCUUAUAAUCCAAUAGAAGACAGCCUAUCACCCUUCACUCUAAUAUUACAGUAUUGAUCUGCCCAUAGGUUGCAAUUGAUAGGCUAUCAGGAAGACGACUAGAUGUUCCCAUUUUUACAGAUACUGAAACUGAGGCUCAGAUUGUGAAGAACAGUACCCGGUUUUCUGAAAGGAAUUAGGGUGAAGAUACUAGAGCAAGGUAGAUAUCAGCCUGUCCAGCAUGGCUCUCAGGCUAUGCUAGUGCAAUUCUCUGUGGGAAUCUCCCUUUUCAUCUUCCAUACUGAUAUGAGUUAGGGCCUGAGGUGGUGGCACAAAAUGACUUUGCCUUUGUUUUCUUGCAUGUUUAGUUGCUCUCUCUGAAUAUAUCAAAAUUUCUUAGUCUCACAGAAAAGGAGGAAUUUGCAAAAGCCAAAUGAUUGUGGUGCUCAGUGGUACCCCAUUGUCGAAAGAAACCUGGUUCCUUCACAAUCACUGUGGCUCAGUGAGACCAUAAGCAGCUUUGACAGUUUACAUUUGAGAUUUUUUAAAACCCCUUUAGAAGGCUGUUAAACCAGCCAGAAAACCUGGAGCCUUUGAGAAACCUCACAGACUAAGGACUCAGAGGUGGCCUGGAAGGAACCCAAUGGUGCAGGUGGAGGCUAGAGAGUUGUAGCUCCCCAUAGUCUAGGGCUCCUCACCUUUGACUCAGCCAUUCUCAGCCUCCACUCACCUUUCUACCUCUUCCUCGUCAACAGGUCCUUAGAUCCUUGACAGUUUCAGAGACAGCCAAGAGAAAAAAUGCAGAGGUGUCCUGUAAGGGAUGCUCUGGCUUGUCACUUAGGGAGUUAUAACAGCCUGUGGUAGACACACAUGUGUAGAUGGGUCAGAAAUAACUCUCAGGGCACUUGGCAAGCUCAGAGCACCGUUGGAAUGAACCAGUCUAGGGAUACUUGAGUAAGCCCAGCUGCUCCAUUUUGAUAGUCUGCUUUUUUUUCCCCCUCCUGCUUUUGUUCACAUUUAUGGUUGGCUGUUUCUAACCACCCAGCGGGACCAAGGCUUCCAGUCUGCAAAGGGAAUAGAGGCAACAACUCCAGCCACGGAGGCUGUUUCCUACCUACUUAGGUCUUGCAGCUCAGAUUUCCACACAGGAUCCCUUUCCUGGUUUCUAGACUUUUACAGCCUGCCUUUAGUUCUGGGCUAUGUCUCCCUAGCCUUCUUGCCAGGAAUCAAAUUCAUGAACCCAUUUUAUUAGUGUUGGUUCCAAACGAGGCUACUCUCUGAAACACAUCUAUAGUCAACAGAGAGGAAAAACAAAGGUAUCAGACAACCAGUAAGCUGGAGUUGAUUGCCUGUGGGGCUUGUCUCCAGGUGCUUGUCCCAGAGCGGAUUUGAUGGUAACCUAGAACUCUGUUGCUGUGGUGGGUUGGGCAGUCCAGAACACCCAUAGCCUCUCUGUGAACCAUUUUAAAACAAACACACAAACAAACAACACCCAAACUCUUUAGAAGCAGCUUCCAAACAGCUCAAGUUUCGGGUUUCACUGGGGGAUGAAAAGGGGGCAGGGCUGUCCUGGCUGCAGCCUUAAUGAGCCUGGUUUACUAGACCAGCUUCCUGUGAGGCUCACUGUGGUUGAGAAUGAUUACAGAGCCCAACUUCUUAUUGACAGAGGCUUUCUAAACCCCCGUGUCUGCUCAUGCCUGCAUCUUGGAGAUAACCUCCUUGAGCCUUGUUGGCUGUUACAGACAACCAGAUGUUGGCUUCUGACUGGCUAGGAUCCCCAACUCUGUCAGAACCUCAAGAUCUGGCUCUGGGGGGUUAUGCAGGGUCUGGGAGGGUCUUCUCUGCUGCAUUUCCAUUGAGACACAUCUGUACCAGUUUCCUUUUCUGAAGGCCAUAUCACUUUGUGUAUGUUACCUACAUCCUUGCUCUCCUCUCUCUAUGCCUACUGCUCUCCCACAGGCAAUAUACACCAGGCCCAUGUGGCUACUCCUUAAAUGAGGCUAGUCCUGGUUCAGAUUUCCUCUGUGUGUCUAUGUAUGAAGUGCAUAUCAAAUUUUGAAGGUGAAAUAUAUUAUUUAAAUUUUUAUCUAAAUAGCUUGAUGAAAUGGUUGCAUUUAAAUAUAUUUCAAGCAAAAAAUAAAAAUGUGAAAUUAUGAGAAUACCUCUGCCAGCCAGGGAAUACUGCCACCCACAGUGGGCAGGUCUCCAUACUCCUCUUAAAGUCAUCAAGAUAAUGACCCAUAGGAAUGUCAGAAUCUGAUCCCUGAGGUAAUUCAGGAUUCUGUCAAGUUGACAGCACUACCACAGGCCUAUUUGGGAACAUGUCCUAGAAGGAUAAACUUUGUGCAGCCACAUACAUGACAUGCUUCCUACUUGCCAGGAGGUGAUGUGGGGUGCCUUUUUGUAUGCUGCAAAUAUGUGUUGCUUUUAUUGGUUGACGAAUAAAGCUGAUUUGACCAAUGGCCAGGCAGAAUAGAGCCAGGUGGGAAAUCCAAACAAAGAUAUGGAGAGAAAGGAAGCAGAGUCUGGGAGAUGCCAUGUAGCCUCCGAAGGACUUAGAUGCCAGAAUAUUAUCAGUAAGCCACAGCCACGUGGUGAUACAUAGAUUAGUAAAAAUGGGUUCAUUUAAUUGUGAGAGCUAGUCAGUAAUAUGCCCGAGCCAUUGGCCAAACAAUUAUAAUUAAUAUUAUGCUUCAGAGUAUUAUUUUAUAAGCAGCCGUGGGACCAGGUGAGACACAUAAAAGGUACCAACUACAAGGAGGUGAACAACUUUGGUCAAUACACACUCCUACUACCAUGAUAGUCUGUUUUGCCACAGGCCCAAAGCAGUGAAGCAGGCUAACUAACCCCUCUAAACUGAACCCCCAACCAUGAACCCAACAAGCAUUUCCUCCCUUAAAGUGUGUUUCUCUUGAGUAUUUGACCUAGUAUCAAAGACUAACACAGCAAUAAUCUUUGACAGUUUAUUUUCUCUAAAAUGCUAACUCGUCAUUGACAAGUUGCAGGACAGUGCUUCUGACCUGCCAGUGUGUUCUCUGUUUUUCCUAGAAAUUCACAGGUGGAAGGAAGACUUUUGAACUGUAUGUCACCGGCUCUGUGGUAAGAUGUUAGUGGCUGUCACUCAACACUGAGUUCUGGGAACGACUCGUGGUUAAAAUGCUGUGAUGCAAGAGUGAGGAUCAGAGUUCAUAUCCCCAGAAACCCACAUAAACACCAGGUGGGCAGGGUAGCCCCACUGUCAUUCCUGCCUCAGAAGAAGGAAGCAGAAGGUCCCCAGAGCAAGUUGGCUAGCAAGAGAGCUCUAGUUUUUUGAUUGAGAGACCAACCUCAAUGAAUUAGGAAAAAGAGCUACAGCAGAGGAUUUCCACUUUCAGUCUCAGAGCCCCAAAAGCACAAGCACACACAUAUACAUGUGUGGCUACACAUAUACAAACACAAGUGUGAGCACAGACACACACACACACACACACACACACACACACACACACACACACACACUGGAAACAGAUGAACAAAGCAAUUCAGCAUGCCCAGGAUUAUUCUUCAUCCUCCACUUGACGUUUAAAGAGACUCCUGUCCACUGGCUACUGGAUCCUGGAAUAGACAUUUGACUUGCCUGAAGAGAUGAAGUGAUGCAAGAGAAUGAUGGAUUUAAGUGACAAUCUUUGUGUUAUGGAAAUUCCGAGCACAAGAAAUUAUUUCACCAAGUAGCAGAAGUGGACAAGGACGAUGCUGUUGGGAGUGAGAGAGUGCUAAUCUGUUUGGUGUGGGCCCAUGGGAGUGAAGCUGUUCGUGGAAGUGUGCACCCAGGAGUCUUUGGUGUUGACCAAUAUCCCAUACCGUGAAGUCAUCAGUGCUGGCCUCGAAGUCUCAUGAUCAGAUACUCUCAUGCACAAAACCAAUGUCUUCCCAAGUCCCUGUGGAUCAUAUGCUUCUGGCUAUGACAUAUUCUAUAAAGCUGUGGGGUGCACUUUGAGGCUACUGCUUAAGUGAUACUCAUUUGGAACAAAAGUAGGGGAGAAGAGAGAACCCUGAGGAUGGAAGCAUGUCUCAAAACAAUAAAAGGAAGAGAAAGAAAGCUGAGAAUCCCUGGGAUCUGCAAGAAGAAGGGAGAAGUCACAGUAAGUGUGCUGUCCAGAUCCCAGACCCUGCGUCUCCUCCAGAACCUGCCAAUGCCAUCGAUUUCUAUUAAUCUGAUGGAGCAUUCAUUACCCCAACAACCAACCUGCCACUGUUUGCUUAGCUUGCAUGAAAUCAGAGCUCCACAAAAAUCAAUGUGUGAAAUCUUUGUAUCAACAUAUAAGAAAUCCAAAGGUUUGUGCUGGUGGUAGCAGGAUUUUAGACAGAUUAAAACUGACAAACUGGCAUGUUCCGUGGUGGUGGCAAUGAUGAGGUGUGGCACCGUGUCAAAGGUUUGGAAAACAGCCUGCUAAGAAAGAAACGAAUGACUGUUGCAGGGGAGGGAGAAUGAUGCAUCUGGAUUAUUGAGAGGACAUUUGGAUGAUGUUCUGAUGGCUUAUGUUUCAGAAGCGACUUGAAAUCAGUAGGGAGAUUUCAAGCUCUGGCAGAGCACAGCUGUCCCCUAGGAACUCAUGAGUAAAGAUGAGCGGUUAAUGGCUUGAGCAAGGUCACCGUGGGCAGAGGUUAUGCCAGGACAAAAUGGUGGAACCUUGGUACGUACUUUCAGCAGUCACUGAACAUGCCACAGGCAGAGGACUCACGUCUUAUUGGUCCCAUAGCCUCUUAUCCCAAAAAGUGAGAGUGGGGACUCUUUCCAUUCAAACAUCUAGACGCCUGUGUGAGGAUCUUGCUUCCUCAGGAGCCUAAGGAGGGUGCAGGACUAGAAGUUCCACACGGCUAACUCUGUGCACUUCAAUUUGUAAGACACGUCUUCACCCUGACCUCAAGAGUCCUGUAAACAAAGGCAAUGGCUAACGUAAUGAAGAAGAAAAAACCCCUUUGAAAAGCCUCCUCUCAGCAUCGAAGCACAGCAUUCCAAAACCGUGACAGAAUUUUUUUUUUUUUAAUUUUGAUUCCCAUGUCUCACAACAUACUGUAGGCCAUCUGCUUCCAAUAUCAGGGGCCGUGGAGUGUAUGCUUCAGGAAUGAAACUCUUCCUUUAAGAAUAGUAGCCAAGAAAGGUAACUAGCUUGCUCAGGAGGGAAAAUAAAUCCCCAGCAAAAAGUCAACAGUGGGCCUGGGGAUGUAGCACUGUAGCUGAAUGCUGCAAUGAACACCACUCACUAGUGCUGAAAAUAAAAGCCGACAGUACACAUGUGUCAAAAUCAAACUGAAAUAAACUGGGGUGAAGCAUGGAAGACGAUGUAGAGGAAAGAGGCAAAGCAAUGGACUCAGGCUUGAGUUUGAAUCUUAUACCUGGCACACACUGGUUGUAUAUUAAUCAGUGUAGGACUCUAGAGGAGUUUUUUUUCUUCAUUUGUAUUUGGUGAGAAAAAAGGUAUGAAAGGUCUAACACUUUGUCUAAGACACAGUCAGUAGACUGUGUGUGUUUUUCUAUCAGAUCAUUUGUCUAUGCCCACUUCUCUAAAAAUGUACAUUCUAGAAACAAGAUGGUUGGAAACACAUUGACUAUCAAUGGAUGCAUGGUACAUCCAAGCCAAAACUUUUCACUUCCCAGAGUAAUAGGGCACAGCUGAGUAAGUACAGCUGACAAAGGUCUGUUGUCACUUGUCACUGUCACUUGACGGGGUGAGUUGUCAUUUGCCAUUGGCUGACAGACCAGCAAACCCUUGUCUGGUUGGUUCCUUUUGUGAUGGGUGUCAGUUUGGUUACCUGUCUACCAACACAAUAAAAAUCACCAGCAAACUUAGUAAUGUAACCAAGCUUGUUUACAAAUUUGUAAUUUGGGUAGGACUUAGACAGGAAACCUUACCUCAGUUCUGUUCUGUGCCACACAGGACUCAUCAACUAAAUGCAUAAAUUUAGUCCUGCUCCAUCAUGUCUUCCUCAGAUAGUUAGUAACAUGGCAAUCUAUAUCGACAGGGAGCUCAGCUGAAGCCCAUUUCUUUCAGCAUGGUCCUGUCUAUGUGGAUAGCUAGUUUUUCUACAGUGUAACAGCAAGCUUACAAUGGCCACAUCUUGAGACAAAGAGAACCAGGUAUACUUGUAUUGCUGUCUCUGACCUGCCCUUGAAGGUCAUAGUACCCUUUGGUCAUACACCAUAAGUUGAAGCAGUCACAAAGGCUUGCCCGGGUUCAUGAGAGAAGACAUAGGCUCCACCUUUUAUGGGAAACUACAUGUUUCUGGAGGACUGACCACGGGAAAUGUUUCUGUACAAUGCCGAUGGGCAUGUAAUCUGCCAUGCCUCUGAUUAGCACUUAACCCAAAGCUUUAUUGCUACCUUCCCAGAGCCGGGGCUUGCUUCCUCCUCUUCAUUUGGUUUUCCAGUUGAUCUCUUCUUACACCCUAGAAUAGUGAAUUCCAAUCUAAAAGUGGGAAAGAAAAUUAUGACCAUACCCCUAUCCUGUUUUUUUGUUUUUGUUUUUGUUUUCUGUCAACUUGACAAAACUGGAGUCAUCUGGGAAGAAGAACCUCAUUUGGCAAAAUUCCUUCAUUCAGAUUCCCAUAGGCAUGUUGGUGGGGCAUUUCCUUGAUUCAUGAUUGAAAUGUAAGGGCCAAAUCCACUAGUGGAUGUGGUAGCGACACUCAUGAUGGGUGGUUAUAGUCAGUAUAAGAAUGUGGUCCAAGGAAGCCAUGGGGAACAGUCUUUCUUCAUGUUCUCUGCUUCUGUUCCUACUUCCAGAUUCCUGUCUUUAGUUGUUGUUCUUACUUCACUCAGUAAUGCACUGUGACAUGGAACUGAAAGACAAAUAAACCCUUUCCUCCCCAAGAUGCUCUUGGACAUAGUAUUAAUCACAGCAAUGGAAAGCCAACUAAGACAACCCCAAUCUCAACUUCUUUCUAAAACCUUCUAUGACUUCUAAUGUACAUUGGAAUAAACUUUAAACCUCUUAAUCCAAGUACUCAGUGGUCCCAUGUUUUAUGAUAUGGAUGCAACUUUGAAGCCCGUGCUCAUCUAAGCCAACAUAUGCAUACUAACAGCUCAGUGAAUUGUAUUGUAUUUUGCAGAGGUAAAUUCGUGAGACCAAAAAGCCACAGUCCUCCUAUGCUUCAGAGCCCAUCAGACCAUGGUUAAAGUCACAACUCUACAUUAAGCUUCUAAAAAUGAGUCUAGAAGCUCUGUGUUGAAAUUGCUGAGAGGAUUGACUAAAAUAAUGCACACAAUACCUGGUACAGAGUGGACUUUCA